rnacentral:snRNA from 1 species
UUACUUACCUGGCAGGGGAGAUACCAUGAUCACUAAGGUGGUUCUCCCAGGGCGAGGCUCAUCCAUUGCAUUCCGGGUGUGCUGACCCCUGCGAUUUCCCCAAAUGCGGGAAACUUGACUGCAUAAUUUGUGUUUGGGACUACGUUUGCACUCUCCCCUG